rnacentral:misc_RNA from 1 species
GCAAACUUGGUCAUUUAGAGGAAGUAAAAGUCGUAACAAGGUCUCCGUUGGUGAACCAGCGGAGGGAUCAUUGAAGGAAAAGGGCGCAAGCCCCCAUCCUCCAACCCUUUGUGAACAUACCUAUUCUCGUUGCCUCGGCGGUGCCGGGCCUGGCCCCCCCGUAUCUCACGAUAGGGGGAGCAGCCCGCCGGCGGCCUUCUAAACUCUUGUUUCUAAGUGUAUCUUCUGAGUAAAGCUUCUAAAUAAGUAAAAACUUUCAGCAACGGAUCUCUUGGUUCUGGCAUCGAUGAAGAACGCAGC